GGGCGAAGCCUGAUGCAGCGACGCCGCGUGAGGGAUGACGGCCUUCGGGUUGUAAACCUCUUUCAGCAGGGAAGAAGCGAAAGUGACGGUACCUGCAGAAGAAGCGCCGGCUAACUACGUGCCAGCAGCCGCGGUAAUACGUAGGGCGCAAGCGUUGUCCGGAAUUAUUGGGCGUAAAGAGCUCGUAGGCGGCUUGUCACGUCGGUUGUGAAAGCCCGGGGCUUAACCCCGGGUCUGCAGUCGAUACGGGCAGGCUAGAGUUCGGUAGGGGAGAUCGGAAUUCCUGGUGUAGCGGUGAAAUGCCGCAGAUAUCAGGAGGAACACCGGUGGCGAAGGCGGAUCUCUGGGCCGAUACUGACGCUGAGGAGCGAAAGCGUGGGGAGCGAACAGGAUUAGAUACCCUGGUAGUCCACGCCGUAAACGGUGGGCACUAGGUGUGGGCAACAUUCCACGUUGUCCGUGCCGCAGCUAACGCAUUAAGUGCCCCGCCUGGGGAGUACGGCCGCAAGGCUAAAACUCAAAGGAAUUGACGGGGGCCCGCACAAGCGGCGGAGCAUGUGGCUUAAUUCGACGCA
rnacentral:rRNA from 1 species